UACAAUCUGUUGUUUGGAGUUGAGGGCGACAUUUAAUACUUAUUUCCUUGAAAAUAAUUUUGAUGCUUGCAGAUCAAUUAUUAAGUAUGCUAAUUGUUGAGAAAAUUUUGGUCUGAAACAUUUACUGUACAUAUGCAUAUUCCAUGAUUUUCAUGUAUAUAAACAGAAUUGAGUAUCUGCAAUCAAGCUUGAAAAUUUGUAAAUGGGCUUACAUCAAGUAGUUGUCUUUUUAGUGUGCUUUUGCAUGAAAUUAUCCUCUUUUUCCUUUUUUU
rnacentral:lncRNA from 1 species